UAAGGAAUAUUGCUCAAUGGGAGAAAUCCUGAAGCAGCAACGCCGCGUGGAGGAUGAAGGGUCUAUGACUUGUAAACUCCUGUAAAGAAGGAAAAAAUUCCCAUUUGAUGGGAGAUGAUGGUACUUCUGGAGUAAGCCCCGGCUAACUACGUGCCAGCAGCCGCGGUAAUACGUAGGGGGCAAGCGUUGUCCGGAUUUACUGGGCGUAAAGGGUGCUCAGGCGGAUUUGUAAGUCAGAGGUGAAAUCUUACAGCUUAACUGUGAAACUGCCUUUGAUACUGCAAGCCUAGAGUAUGGAAGAGAGUGAUGGAAUAUCUGGUGUAGCAGUGAAAUGCGUAGAUAUCAGAUAGAACACCAAUGGCGAAGGCAGUCACUUGGUCCAUUACUGACGCUAAAGCACGAAAGCGUGGGUAGCAAACA
rnacentral:rRNA from 1 species